rnacentral:rRNA from 1 species
UACGUAGGGGGCUAGCGUUAUCCGGAUUUACUGGGUGUAAAGGGAGCGUAGGUGGCAUGGUAAGCCAGAAGUGAAAACCCGGGGCUCAACCCCGCGGAUUGCUUUUGGAACUAUCAGGCUGGAGUGCUGGAGGGGUAAGCGGAAUUCCUAGUGUAGCGGUGAAAUGCGUAGAUAUUAGGAGGAACACCGGUGGCGAAGGCGGCUUACUGGACAGAAACUGACACUGAGGCUCGAAAGCGUGGGGAGCAAACAGG